ensembl:lncRNA
GUCACACCUGACUCCAAUAAUCACCUAAUCAUGAUCUUCAGUUUAGAAUGAAAUUUGAUUAAGCAGCUGUGUUUGGUAGGCAUGUGUGACACCAAUCAGGCCCUACAGGACUGGAGUUGCCCACCCCUGGUCAAUGGCAUUGUGACCUUUCAUGGUUCUGCAUGGGGCUGCAGUUAGCCUAUUGGUUAGAGCAUGUCAAACUCAUUCCAUGGAGGGCCUACUGUCUGCAGGUUUUUGCUUCUCCCUUGUGCUUGAUUGAUGAAUUAAGGUCACUGAUUAUUAAGGAACUCCCCUCACCUGGUUGUCUAUGUUUUAAAUGAAAGGAAAAAACUCAAACCUGCAGCCAUGGCCCUGCAUGGAAUGAGUUUGACACCCCUGUGUUAGAGCGUUGGGUUAGUAACCGAAAGGUUGCUGGUUGAGUACCUGAGCCGACAAGGUGAAAACUGUAUGUGCCCAUGAGCAAGGCACCUACAGUAACCCUAAUUUGCUCCAGGAGUCCCUUACUACUAUGGCUGAUCCUGUAAAACAACACACUGGAUGUGUGCAGUGAAAUGUAUGUGAUGAUAAAACACAUUCAAACAUUUUUUAUUAACUGAAUGAUGACAUUACUGAGAGAGCUUGAUAUGAGUUGGGUCCUGUGGGUAGGUCUUGAGGGAGGUAAAGGGCCUUUUCUAUAGAUAGACAUAAGGCUGCAGUUGGUCACAUCACCACUGGAUGGCAGUAGAGGCACAACUCAGUGAUGAGCAGACUAAACAGCACCUACGCUUGAGAACAUUCAGAAGGGCACUUCUGGGAAGCUUCCAACUUAAGUAAAAUAAAAUAACUUGCUAACUGUUUUAGCUUGAAUGGAUAUGCCUAUCAUCCUAAAACCUGGCAAGCACAGAGUAGGCUAAUUAAUAACCAUGUAAGUAAGUAGAACUUACUUAAUUAUUUACAUGGUUGAUUUCAUGAACCCCCAAUGCUGUCAAUUGAAGUGAAACCAAAGAUUCCAUUGCUUCACAAAAGCACAUGAUAGUGGGUAAAUAAAAAAACAAUUUGGCAAAGCGUUGACAGUAUGUAAACCCAAAUCUGCAGUGAUAUUGAUAACAUGGGAUGCCAAGGUCAUACAGGAUGGUUGAUUAAGGCUGAUAUUGGACAUUUUUGUUUUGUUAUUUUGGUCUGCAGUCGGUAGGUGGGUGUUUCACCUACGGGGGGGGGCUCCCCAUGCUGAUAGGUCAAUAUAUGGACUGGAAACCGGGGGGUAAGCCUCCCUCCGCAGAGAUAGAUAAAAUAACUGGAAUAUAGUCAAUGCUUAUCAAAGCACACAUAUCAGAUGUAUAUGUUUUGGCUGUUGCUUUAUCUUCACAGGGAGGUCAAGGUGUGCCUCAUUGACAAGCUAGCUAGGUGUCAGGGCCUGUUGAAGGAAGGUUGCUGUUGUAGGCAAUAGUUAGGAUAUAUUAUAUUUUCAUAGGUGCUGUGUUUCUGGAUGCAGGCCCUGCCCAGGAACAUGAGGAAAACACAAAGAACAAUGAUUUGAGGGCCCCCCCCAAGUUCUCCCACCUAAAAAGAUAAGAGAGGCCUGUAAUUUUCAUCAUAGGUACACUUCAACUAUGACAGACAAAAUUAGAGAAAAAAAAUCCAGAAAAUCACAUUGUAGGAUGUUUAAUGAAUUUAUUUGCAAAUUAUGGUGGAAAAUAAGUAUUUGGUCAAUAACAAAAGUUUAUCUCAAUACUUUGUUUCUAUACCCUUUGUUGGCAAUGACAGAGGUCAAAUGUUUUCUGUAAGUCUUCACAAGGUUUUCACACACUGUUGCUGGUAUUUUGGCCCAUUCCUCCAUGCAGAUCUCUAGAGCAGUGAUGUUUUGGGGCUGUUGCUGGGCAACACGGACUUUCAACUCCCUCCAAAGAUUUUCUAUGGGGUUGAGAUCUGGAGACUGGCUAGGCCACUCCAGGACCUUGAAAUGCUUGUUACAAAGCCACUCCUUCGCUGACCGGGCGGUGUGUUUGGGAUCAUUGUCAUGCUGAAAGACCCCGCCACGUUUCAUGGCACUGCAGGAGUUGAGUCCCUGGUGGCGUAGUGUGUUACUGAUGGUAGGCUUUGUUACUUUGGUCCUAGCUCUCUGCAGGUCAUUCACUAGGUCCCCGCGUGUGGUUCUGGGAUUUUUGCUCACUGUUCUUGUGAUCAUUUUGACCCCACGGGGUGAGAUCUUGCGUGGAGCCCCAGAUCGAGGGAGAUUAUCAGUGGUCUUGUAUGUCUUCCAUUUCCUAAUAAUUGCUCCCACAGUUGAUUUCUUCAAACCAAGCUGCUUACCUAUUGCAGAUUCAGUCUUCCCAGACUGGUGCAGGUCUACAAUUUUGUUUCUGGUGUUCUUUGACAGCUCUUUGGUCUUGGCCAUAGUGGAGUUUGGAGUGUGACUGUUUGAGGUUGUGGACAGGUGUCUUUUAUACUGAUAACAAGUUCAAACAGGUGCCAUUAAUACAGGUAACGAGUGGAGGACAGAGGAGCCUCUAAAGAAGAAGUUACAGGUCUGUGAGAGCCAGAAAUGUUUUUCUGGAUUUUUUUUCUCAUUUUGUCUGUCAUAGUUGAGGUGUACCUAUGAUGAAAAUUACAGGCCUCUCUCAUCUUUUUAAGUGGGAGAACUUGCACAAUUGGUGGCUGACUAAAUACUUUUUUGCCCCACUGUAUAUGGAUCUCUCUCCAACAGUAACCAGUUAAUUGACUACAGAAAUGUGUGUUAGAUACCAAACGUUGAUGCAAUAGCGUUAUUCUAUCAGAAACUUGUCCCCUGAGGAGAACUCUAAUACUAUUUAUAUGGGUGUAUGGUCUCUGUGGUAACUUGUCAGUACAGGGUGAACUCUAAACUACUCUAUUAAAAGGGGCUUUAUUGUCUUUAGGAACUCUGCCUUAUUUGCAUUAGGUCUCCUUUAGACCUUUAGCUGCUGUGACAUCCUGUGGAGAUUGGGCCUGGCUGAUCAGUAACUUGGUAUCGUUUGAUGGGUCAAUAGUGGUAGGUUUAGGUUUGAAAGUGUCACCUUGUGUUAUGAAUGGAAUGAAGUGCCUUUGUUCAGUCUCUUAUCCUGUCCAUGGAGAACGGUUGUAUGAUCACUAUGGAGAAUGAUUGUAUGAUCACCACGGAGAACGGUUGUAUGAUCACCACGGAGAACGGUUGUAUGAUCACCAUGGAGAACGGUUGUAUGAUCACCACGGAGAACGGUUGUAUGAUCACCACGGAGAACGGUUGUAUGAUCACCACGGAGAACGGUUGUAUGAUCACCACGGAGAACGGUUGUAUGAUCACCACGGAGAACGGUUGUAUGAUCAAUUCUCAUUUCAUAUUAGGCGUCUCUUUUUUCAUGCUUUGGCUUGUAACUGUAAGAUUUGUAUGCCUAGAUUGUGAAUGCUAUGCAACUUAAACUUUAUGCCUUGUAUAAUGUUAUAAUUCAUUUGACAAAGUAAUUAAAUACACUUCCAUUUUGCAAUCACUUCUCAUGACCAUUUCUUGAUCUUAGUCAGCUAAACGCAUAAUACUUG